AUUCUUUUAGUAUCAAUAAUACGGCUGACCUCCAAUCAGCGGAUCUUGGUUAAACCCCAGGAAAGAAUA
rnacentral:tRNA from 1 species